rnacentral:rRNA from 1 species
UGCCUACGGGAGGCAGCAGUGAGGAAUAUUGGUCAAUGGACGCAAGUCUGAACCAGCCAUGCCGCGUGCAGGAUGACGGCUCUAUGAGUUGUAAACUGCCUUUGUACGAGGGUAAUAUCGGAUACGUGUAUCCGCUUGAAAGUAUCGUACGAAUAAGGAUCGGCUAACUCCGUGCCAGCAGCCGCGGUAAUACGGAGGAUGCGAGCGUUAUCCGGAUUUAUUGGGUUUAAAGGGUGCGUAGGCGGUUUUUUAAGUUAGUGGUUAAACGUCGGGGCUUCACCUUGAUUUGCCAUUAAUACUGUAAG